AAUCAACGCUGGCGGCGUGCCUAACACAUGCAAGUCGAACGAGAAAGUGGAGCAAUCCAUGAGUACAGUGGCGACCGGGUGAGUAACACGUGACUAACCUACCCUCGAGUGGGGGAUAACUCCGGGAAACCGGGGCUAAUACCGCAUAACAUCGCGAGGUGAAAUUCCUUGUGAUCAAAGGAGCAAUUCGCUUGAGGAGGGAGUCGCGUCUGAUUAGCUAGUUGGUGAGGUAACGGCCCACCAAGGCAAUGAUCAGUAGCCGGCCUGAGAGGGCGCACGGCCACACUGGAACUGAAAAACGGUCCAGACUCCUACGGGAGGUAGCAGUGGGGAAUGUUGCGCAAUGGGGGAAACCCUGACGCAGCAACGCCGCGAGGAGGAUGAAGUCCUUUGGGAUGUAAACUCCUUUCGACCGGGACGAUAAUGACGGUACCGGAGGAAGAAGCACCGGCUAACUCUGUGCCAGCCGCCGCGGUAAUAC
rnacentral:rRNA from 1 species